rnacentral:misc_RNA from 1 species
GUGGAAACCAGCUAUGCAGGGGAGGGGGAACAAGGGGAGUCGGGGAAACUUCACUCCUCGCCAUGUCUUGCUUGAUGCUGGUGGUGGAAGGAACUCUAGACCUGAUAAGGAAAAUGGAGCCAGUCAUGUUUCUGGAAAGAGUGUCAAUCCAUCUUCCGUGCCUACUGUUGAGGGGAAGAAUACUUCAAGCUCAUCAAGUGCCAGAGCCAUUCGUCCUGGUGUUGUAGCUUUUGGGAGUAACAAUGUUGUACCUAAUGCACAUGCAUCAGCAGGAAGAGGGAUUAAGCAAUCUGAAGCCACUGCGGGUGCUGGCUCUAUUAAGUCGGAGGAACCUCUGCAAUCUGCAAGUCAUGAUGCGAACAGAAGCCCUAGAGUGUCUGUGGGAACCAGGGAUAUGCUUGGACAGAAAAUGCCAAACUUCAGCAACUCUUCAACAUCCUUGUCUUCAUCACCUUCGUCAGGAGCUUAUUUUUCAGCGUCUGAUCCUGUUCUUUUGCCAUCUCAUGAUUCACGACCCCUUGGUGCAGUAGGCACAAUCCGAAGAGAAGUCGGUAGCCAACGUGCUCCAUUUGAAAAUUUUCCUACCAACUCUAACGGAAGCAAGACAGCCACUGAGGUUUUUGACUCUAGAAGUUCAACUGUACAAGCAAACAUGUCAAGCAAAUUCCAGGGGCUUGUAAAGAAUCCGC